rnacentral:rRNA from 1 species
UUUGUGUCAAAUGUGAUGUCGUAAGGGAAAAUAAUGAUAUUACCUUACUAAUAGUGUCGUCUAAAACAGGUGCCAGAAGACUCGGUAAGGCCUGAGACACAAAUGUUAAUCGUCUUAAUCAGGCGUAAAGGGUUUGUAGGCUGCUUUGAAAAUAUUAACUUAAUAUAGUCAUACGUACCCACCCCUCCCUCCCUACCCACUCAUCGAACCAAUCAUCUUCGAUGAAAGGGAUGAUGAAAGGGAUAGGAUGCGGAUGGUGGGUGCAGUAAAUUAAUAUCAAUUAAAGCUAGAAUCUAAUAGAGGAUAUUUACGAAAUAAUGCUUGGUCGAGGGCUGAUAUCCGAAGACACCAAGUGGAGUGCAAAUGGCGUAAGCAUUUAUCCAUUAAAGAUUGACGCUGAGAAACGAAGGUGAGGAUAGGAAAUAGGAUUAGAUACCCAGGUACCCCUCUCUGUCAACGAUGAAUGGUAGUUUGUUAGUCUCUUUAAAGACUAGUGACGAAGUUAACACGUUAACCAUUCCGCCUUGUGAGUACGACUGCAAAGUUGAAAACAAAAAAAUUAGGUCGGUCUCGGAGCAAACGAAGUGAAGUUGU